rnacentral:tRNA from 1 species
AAAGGUUUAGCUUAAUUAAAGUAUCUGUUUUGCAUUCAGGUGAUGUAAGUUUAUAGGCUUGCAACCUUUA